rnacentral:rRNA from 1 species
ACGUCAAGUCCUCAUGGCCCUUAUGGGCUGGGCUACACACGUGCUACAAUGGCGGUGACAGUGGGAAGCAAGACCGCGAGGUGGAGCUAAUCCCCAAAAACCGUCUCAGUUCGGAUUGUACUCUGCAACUCGAGUGCAUGAAGUUGGAAUCGCUAGUAAUCGUGGAUCAGCAUGCCACGGUGAAUACGUUCCCGGGCCUU